UACGUAGGGAGCAAGCGUUGUUCGGAUUUACUGGGCGUAAAGGGCGCGUAGGCGGCGCGACAAGUCACUUGUGAAAUCUCCGGGCUUAACUCGGAACGGUCAAGUGAAACUGUCAUGCUAGAGUGCAGAAGGGGCAAUCGGAAUUCUUGGUGUAGCGGUGAAAUGCGGUAGAUAUCAAGAGGAACACCUGGAGGUGAAGACGGGUUGCUGGGCUGACACUGACGCUGAGGCGCGGAAAGCCAGGGGAGCAAACGGG
rnacentral:rRNA from 1 species